rnacentral:rRNA from 1 species
AGAGUUUGAUCAUGGCUCAGAUUGAACGCUGGCGGCAGGCCUAACACAUGCAAGUCGAACGGUGACAGGAAACAGCUUGCUGUUUCGCUGACGAGUGGCGGACGGGUGAGUAAUGUCUGGGAAACUGCCUGAUGGAGGGGGAUAACUACUGGAAACGGUAGCUAAUACCGCAUAACGUCGCAAGACCAAAGAGGGGGACCUUCGGGCCUCUUGCCAUCAGAUGUGCCCAGAUGGGAUUAGCUAGUAGGUGGGGUAACGGCUCACCUAGGCGACGAUCCCUAGCUGGUCUGAGAGGAUGACCAGCCACACUGGAACUGAGACACGGUCCAGACUCCUACGGGAGGCAGCAGUGGGGAAUAUUGCACAAUGGGCGCAAGCCUGAUGCAGCCAUGCCGCGUGUAUGAAGAAGGCCUUCGGGUUGUAAAGUACUUUCAGCGGGGAGGAAGGGAGUAAAGUUAAUACCUUUGCUCAUUGACGUUACCCGCAGAAGAAGCACCGGCUAACUCCGUGCCAGCAGCCGCGGUAAUACGGAGGGUGCAAGCGUUAAUCGGAAUUACUGGGCGUAAAGCGCACGCAGGCGGUUUGUUAAGUCAGAUGUGAAAUCCCCGGGCUCAACCUGGGAACUGCAUCUGAUACUGGCAAGCUUGAGUCUCGUAGAGGGGGGUAGAAUCCCAGGUGUAGCGGUGAAAUGCGUAGAGAUCUGGAGGAAUACCGGUGGCGAAGGCGGCCCCCUGGACGAAGACUGACGCUCAGGUGCGAAAGCGUGGGGAGCAAACAGGAUUAGAUACCCUGGUAGUCCACGCCGUAAACGAUGUCGACUUGGAGGUUGUGCCCUUGAGGCGUGGCUUCCGGAGCUAACGCGUUAAGUCGACCGCCUGGGGAGUACGGCCGCAAGGUUAAAACUCAAAUGAAUUGACGGGGGCCCGCACAAGCGGUGGAGCAUGUGGUUUAAUUCGAUGCAACGCGAAGAACCUUACCUGGUCUUGACAUCCACGGAAGUUUUCAGAGAUGAGAAUGUGCCUUCGGGAACCGUGAGACAGGUGCUGCAUGGCUGUCGUCAGCUCGUGUUGUGAAAUGUUGGGUUAAGUCCCGCAACGAGCGCAACCCUUAUCCUUUGUUGCCAGCGGUCCGGCCGGGAACUCAAAGGAGACUGCCAGUGAUAAACUGGAGGAAGGUGGGGAUGACGUCAAGUCAUCAUGCCCCUCACGACCAGGGCUACACACGUGCUACAAUGGCGCAUACAAAGAGAAGCGACCUCGCGAGAGCAAGCGGACCUCAUAAAGUGCAUCGUAGUCCGGAUUGGAGUCUGCAACUCGACUCCAUGAAGUCGGAAUCGCUAGUAAUCGUGGAUCAGAAUGCCACGGUGAAUACGUUCCCGGGCCUUGUACACACCGCCCGUCACACCAUGGGAGUGGGUUGCAAAAGAAGUAGGUAGCUUAACCUUCGGGAGGGCGCUUACCACUUUGUGAUUCAUGACUGGGGUGAAGUCGUAGCAAGGUAACCGUAGGGGAACCUGCGGUUG